rnacentral:rRNA from 1 species
GAUGAACGCUGGCGGCGUGCUUAACACAUGCAAGUCGAACGAUGAAGCCCAGCUUGCUGGGUGGAUAGUGGCGAACGGGUGAGUAACACGUGAGUAACCUGCCCUUAACCCUGGGAUAAGCCUGGUAAACUGGGUCUAAUACCGGAUAGGAGCGUCCACCGCAUGGUGGGUGUUGGAAAGAUUUAUCGGUUUUGGAUGGACUCGCGGCCUAUCAGCUUGUUGGUGAGGUAAUGGCUCACCAAGGCGACGACGGGUAGCCGGCCUGAGAGGGUGACCGGCCACACUGGGACUGAGACACGGCCCAGACUCCUACGGGAGGCAGCAGUGGGGAAUAUUGCACAAUGGGCGCAAGCCUGAUGCAGCGACGCCGCGUGAGGGAUGACGGCCUUCGGGUUGUAAACCUCUUUCAGUAGGGAAGAAGCGAAAGUGACGGUACCUGCAGAAGAAGCACCGGCUAACUACGUG